AAUGAACGCUGGCGGCAUGCUUUACACAUGCAAGUCGAACGAGUGGCGAACGGGUGAGUAAUAUAUCGGAACGUACCGAGUAAUGGGGGAUAACCAAUCGAAAGAUUGGCUAAUACCGCAUAUUAUUAGAGCGGCCGAUAACUGAUUCGCUAGGUGGUGGGGUAAAGGCCUACCAAGGCGACGAUCAGUCGCGGGUCUGAGAGGCCGAGCCGCCAAACGGGGAUUUAGACACGGCCCUGACUCCUACGGGAGUCAGCAGUGGGGAAGUGUGGACAAUGGGGGCAACCCUGAUCCAGCCAUGCCGCGUGUAUGAAUAAGGCCUUCGGGUUGUAAAGUACUUUUGUUAUGGAAGCGGUACCUAAAGAAUAAGCACCGGCUAACUACGUGCCAGCAGCCGCGGUAAUUC
rnacentral:rRNA from 1 species